CCUACGGGUGGCAGCAGUGGGGAAUAUUGCACAAUGGGGGAAACCCUGAUGCAGCCACGCCGCGUGAGUGAAGAAGUAACUCGUUAUGGUAAGCUCUAUCUGCAGGGAAGAAAAGGACGGUACGUGUGUACGAAUCCCCGGCUAACUACGUGCCAGCAGCGGUGGUAAUACGCAGGGGGCAAGCGUUAUCCGGAUUUACUGGGUGUAAAGGGAGCGUAGAGGGGAGUGCAAGUCUGGAGUGAAAGGCUGGGGCUCAACCCCCGGACUGCUGUGGAAACUGUACGGCUGGAGUGCAGGAGAGGUAAGUGGAAUUCCUAGUGUAGCGGUGAAAUGCGUAGAUAUUAGGAGGAACACCAGUGGCGAAGGCGGCUUACUGGACUGUAACUGACGUUGAGGCUCGAAAGCGUGGGGAGCAAACAGGAUUAGAUACCCGUGUAGUC
rnacentral:rRNA from 1 species